UUCACGCAGAUGUUCAGAACAUGUCAAUAGUCAAAAUGGCUCCAUGCUGUCAUUUCUAAGUUAGAUAUUCUUUAAAGUGCAUUGGUUUCAUAUUGUUUACCCUUCCUUCGGUAUUUUGCCAAAUUUUGGCAAAUUCAAGUCAAGUCAAGUUUAUCAGACACUCACAGAGACAGGUUGGCUGCAAGAGAACGCCACCGUCUUCUGAACUCGCUUUCACUGCGGUGGUACAAUUGGACUCAAUUGAAACCGACAACGCAGAAGGACGCCAUCUUGGUACGCGUGGAGAGCACCCACGGACUCGGCGUCUAUCUCCAGCUGCACAUACAGCAGCGGAUAUUCGAGCCACCUCCUGCCAAAUAAACCCAACGGCGCCAUCGGAAGGAAGCUGACGGUGCCAAGGGCAAUAGGAGACCGGCCGAGGAGGGACGUUGAUGGCUUGCCGCCCGAUCAGGUGUCGUGCGCCGGCGACGUGUCGGGAUGCCACCGUGUCGUUCGUCUGGAGCGGAACCGAUGAGUUGGCGCAUUGGAUUUGGGUCGACAAAAGUCCGGAAAACGAGUCUCGAGUCGGGCCCGUCCUCUCUCAUCGCUUCCCUUCGCGACCGCCGUUUCGGGACCCACGACAGCGUCGGGACCCCGGUUGCUUGGGUAAGCCGGGGGGCGCCUGCUCCAAAAGGUGAACACCAUUCUCAGUGCCUCGGUACUUUGUGCACUUUUCAACAUGUAUUAUUAGAGACGAUUGCCUAUGGUCUUUUGGCCUAUAUUGACUAUUAUCUACUUGAGCGUUCUGGAUCAAUCCGGAAGGACCACUGGCAGUCAUUUGCACAGGCCAGCCAUAGUCUACUAUGGUGGUGGCACGAUGGAUUACAGGCUAUUGCCCAGAGACGUUUUCACUUUCUGGAUCACUGCAAAUACAGGACUUUGUAAUCUGUCUGGGCUACAAUCUCCACUGUAUUCCUUUUUUCUAUUGCAGCAAUUCAUUGACUCUCCCUUUCUAUUUGAUGUUAAAACCUCAUUGAAAAAAAACUGCAAUACUCCUAAAAAACCUUUUAUCUAUGUGCUCAGGCGCAAUUUAAUCAUUCUCAUGCUGCUUAUCUCAGGCAAUAUACAUCCAAACCCAGGUCCAGCUAUACUUAAUCAGAAUGUUUCUAUUUUGUCAUUUGCUGAUUUUUGUGAUCGCACAUCUAUGGGUUUUUUACAUAUUAACAUUCAAAGCCUGUUACCCAAAUUUGAUUUGUUGAAAUCAUGGAUUCAUACUGCUACUCCUGAUGUUCUUGCUAUUUCAGAAUCAUGGCUUAGAAAAAGUACUGUCAAUUCUGUAAUUUCUAUACCAGGUUACACUGUUUUCCGUCAGGACAGAGCCACCAAAGGGGGUGGUGUUGCUUUAUAUAUAAAAGACCAUCUGCAAUGUACUAUUUUCCUA